rnacentral:rRNA from 1 species
AUUGAACGCUAGCGGGAUGCUUUACACAUGCAAGUCGAUCGAGUGCCGGACGGGUGAGCAAUAUAUCGGAACGUGCCCAGUAGCGGGGGAUAACUACUCGAAAGAGUGGCUAAUACCGCAUACUCUUGGAGCGGCCGAUAUGGGAUUAGCUAGUUGGUGGGGUAAAGGCUCACCAAGGCAACGAGCCGUAGCUGGUUUGCGAGGUGGACCAGCCACACUGGGACUGAGACUCGGCCCAGACUCCUACGGUAGGCAACAGUGGGGAAUUUUAGACACUGGGGGAAACCCUGAUCCAGCCAUACCGCGUGUAUGAGAAGGCCUGCGGGUUGUAAAGUACUUUAGGCAGAGAAGCGGUAUCAGCAGAAUAGGAACCGGCGAACUACGUGCCAGCAGCCGCGGUAAUAC